AUCUUUACGUUAACAUCUUAUUAUGUGAAAAAGGUUAUCGGCUUGAAUACAGAGUGUCGCUCAGUCGGUGUGUUAUCUGAUAGGAGCUAUUUCAUUGAAAAGACGUUUUGUUGUUAAGAACAUUUCGAUAUCUUUGUGUUUGGUUUGGUCAGAGGUGAAGCCAUAUAAGCGUUUCGCUCACAGCAGAAAGUGUUAUUGUUACAGUAAACGUGAGAGAACAACGACGUGCUGUAGCUUCACGCAGGGUUCGUGGAGUUUGAUGGAAAGUGCAUGGGAAUAUGUGAAUGCGGCAUUGUUCAGUUGUAAAAUUAUUCUUAUUUAAAGGAUUUCCUGUUUGGCUGUGGCCGCUGAAGUAAGUAAAAGUGCGCUUUAAGCAUUCGCUCACACUCUGUCUUUGUUUUCCUCGAUGUGUGCACUCUUUUGUCACUCGCUCUCUAGCUGUAUUCCUGAACAGUAGCCUAUGACCUACUUAUUAAAAAUAAGCAAACUGUACUCAAAACGGCAAAAAGUGUGUUCAACGUUUUGGCCGUUUUAACUACCACAAACUCAAAUAACAUGAGUAAAAUUAACUAAAUAAGUCGCUUUUAGGGUUUAUAUUUCUAUAGUCUUUCAACGGACGUAAACUCAUUUCCGCCUGUGGGUGGCGGUAAUGAGCUUUAUUGCUUUCCAAUACGCCAGAAGAAAAGUCUCUGCUCCGUGCAUUUUACUUGUCUAUUUUAAAACAUACUGGUUAAAUCGCUUCAAAAUAGAAGGAGUCAGCAGGUGUAAUAUCAGGCAGUGUCGGUUUAUUUAAUGUUUUACACAAACUGGUAAAAUAAUAACGGAAUGGUGAUGAAUUCGCAUCUGAGCGCUCGGAGUUCAACUCGAAAACCGUUAUAGGUGAUAUUAUCGUGCAGAUAAGUCAAUUCAGCAAACAUUUGCAACAUUUCGAUUAUAAUAUAAUCGUUCCAACGUGAUGUUGUUGUCGUUGGAAAAACAAGCGUUUUAAUUGUAAAGACGAAAGCGCAUUUAACAAAGAUUUAGAAUCCUCUUUGUUUUGACAUCUUAACUCGUCCAACAAAAUAAUAGCUGUUAAAUAACGUUACGACUGUGACGAUUUAUCUAACUGAGAGACUCGUUCUGCUCAGAGCGUUGCAAUACAUUUUCUUUAAAAAAAAAUACUUUUAAAAAAGUUGUACUAAUCUGCAGUCUAUUGUAACGGUACACUGCUGGAGUCAGCGGUUCACGUGGAAACCAGAAAACCCGCCAAACCGUGCAGCGGAAGUCGCUGCUUUCCAAAGAAGGAGUCGUUGAUCCAACGCGGUUCCGUGGAAUAUUGAAUCGUUAUUUUUUCUGUGUCUAUUAUGACUAAUUUCCGUCUAUUAUGACAAAUUUUUGGAAAGCAGCCGUUUUAGAGCCGACCCUUCAACUUCUUCCGAAAGGGCUUGGAAGACCCGAGGCACCUCGAAUCCAGAUUGCUGAGUCUAUAAAAUGAUCUCCUGGUUGAGGAAGAGGAAUGGAUGUGCAGGCUCAGUACAAUGUAUUUUCUGUUCUUUUCAGUUGUUGUGACUGCUGAAAAGAACAUUCAGUGAAGUACAGAUUUUUAUGUGCUUAUUCGUUGGGAUUGCAUUCCUGAAAACCACUAGCACAUACUGAGCUCAGGUUAUAAUGCAGAGCACAGAAAAUCGUUCUUUUUGUGCAAUUACUUGGAUAUAAAAAAACAAGAAAAAGGAAACAACAUUGUAAACACAUCUGAAAUUCCAUGUUGAACAUGAAACGAUUAUGUUAUGUUGUAUUUUUCUAGUUACUAUUAUCAGAAAGUUAAUGUCGGUUAUGCUCGGAUGUUAAUGCAUCAGGUUUCAAUGGUUAUUUAUUCUUCAAAAUAAAAUGUACUUUUGCAAAUGGAGUUUGAAAUAGUAUAAAUGCUUUACUUUAAAGUACAUUUUAAUCUUUAUUUGAAUUUUUUUAUUUUAACUUAGUAAUAAUAAAUACAAUUAUUUUACAUUUAGUAUUUUUUAAAUGUACUAAAUUGAAACGUCAUUCUUACAAAUGUGUAUUUAACACAAAUUUGUUAGAAAUAUGUUUAGCUAUAACAUACAAGUAUAUUUUAGUUGCUGUUGUCAAUACAUUGAGCCCUUCAAAGACAAUAGAAGUAAUUAUGAAAAUUACGUAUGCAUUACAUGCACAAAGGCCUAAGUCUUAUGAAGUUGAAAAGUGCUUAACUAGGCUAAUUACAUUUAUUAUAUUUUAAAGAAAUACAUUUUCUUUUAAUCGUAAAUUACAUGCAGUUCAAUGUCUGAAGACAUUUCCAUAAUUGCAAUAUUCUCCUUACAAGAGAUUUUUAUUUUAUGUUAUUUGAUAUUUCAUUUUAUUUUAUUUUUUUUGUCACUGCGGACAAAAAUAUAUUUUGUGCUCCACAUAAAAUAUCUGGUGGAUAUCUUUUACAUAAAAGCAGUGGAAAAAAAGGCCAAAGCCACUAAUGCUGCAAGGCGUGAAGAGCACUGAGCAUGAAGAAAACACUGAGAGGAAUGACUUCUACAUAAACGGGUUAUAACUGAAGUACGACUUCACAAGAACCGUCAUGAGGGGAAAAAAUAAAGAUGGAAGAUAAACUCGGCUUCCGUCAGUGCUGAAGUACGUUCAUUAAUUCAGCCCACCUCAACGUAAAAAGACCCCAAGGGAUGAUGCAAUUCCUACUAGAAGUGAAACAUACUUGGACGUGUGUGCGUGGUCAGGACAAGUGUUUCUAGGAGAUACUUUAUCAGCACUCUACAGACUGGGAUCACUAAGAUUUUAUCCAUUAAAAUGCGGCACUCCAAAGGCAAAUUAAACACUGAGUUCAGAAUAAUUGUA